AGAGUAGGGCGGGACACGUGAAAUCCUGUCUGAACAUGGGGGGACCAUCCUCCAAGCCUAAGUACUCCUUAUCGACCGAUAGUGAACAAGUACCGUGAGGGAAUGAUGAAAAGAACCCCGAUGAGGGGAGUGAAACAGAUCCUGAAACCGGAUGCCUACAAGCUGAUGGAGCUCUUCGGAGUGACAUCGUACCUUUUGUAUAAUGGGUCAGCGACUUAGUGUUGCGUGCAAGCUUAAGCCGUUAGGUGUAGGCGUAGCGAAAGCGAGUCUGAAUAGGGCGCCCUAGUUCGUUGGAUUAGACCCGAAACCGAGUGAUCUAGCCAUGGC
rnacentral:rRNA from 18 species